CCGUUGCCGGCGACCGGCGCACGGGUGAGUAACACGUAUGCAACCUGCCCGUGGCAGGGGGAUAAGCGGGGGAAACCCCGUCUAAUACCGCGUAACGCGGCCUAGGGACAUCCCAAGGCCGCCAAAGGGAGCAAUCCCGGCCACGGAUGGGCAUGCGGCGCAUUAGCUAGUCGGCGGGGUAACGGCCCACCGAGGCGACGAUGCGUAGGGGUUCUGAGAGGAAGGCCCCCCACCACUGGUACUGAGACACGGACCAGACUCCUACGGAAGGCAGCAG
rnacentral:rRNA from 1 species